rnacentral:rRNA from 1 species
GACGAACGCUGGCGGCGUGCUUAACACAUGCAAGUCGAACGGAAAGGCCUCUUUCGGGGGGUACUCGAGUGGCGAACGGGUGAGUAACACGUGAGUAGCCUGCCCUUGACUUUGGGAUAACUUCAGGAAACUGGGGCUAAUACCGGAUAGGAGCUCCUGCUGCAUGGUGGGGGUUGGAAAGUUUCGGCGGUUGGGGAUGGACUCGCGGCUUAUCAGCUUGUUGGUGGGGUAGUGGCUUACCAAGGCUUUGACGGGUAGCCGGCCUGAGAGGGUGACCGGCCACAUUGGGACUGAGAUACGGCCCAGACUCCUACGGGAGGCAGCAGUGGGGAAUAUUGCACAAGGGGUGGAAGCCUGAUGCAGCAACGCCGUGUGCGGGAUGACGGCCUUCGGGUUGGAAACCGCUUUCGCUCAUGACGAAGCUUUGUGUGACGGUAGUGGGUAAAGAAGCACCGGCUAACUACGUG